rnacentral:rRNA from 12 species
AGAGGCUGCACCCGAGUGAGAGUGCCUGAUAGCGUCCGAUCUCAGAAGCUUAGCAGGGCUAUACCUCGUUAGUACUUGGAUGGGAGACCAACGGCUUCUAGCCUCAGCCACUG